rnacentral:rRNA from 1 species
ACUACUUGGCGACCGAUAGCGCAUAGUACCGUGAGGGAAAGGUGAAAAGAACCCCGGGAGGGGAGUGAAAUAGUACCUGAAACCGUAUGUCUACAAGCAGUCGAAGCGAAAGCGACGGCGUGCCUAUUGAAGAAUGAACCAACGAGUUAUCUGCACUAGCGAGGUUAAGUGGAAGACACGGAGCCGCAGCGAAAGCGAGUCUUAAGAGGGCGCUAGUUAGUGUAGGUAGACCCGAAACCGCAGUGAUCUACCCAUGUCCAGGUUGAAGCGCAGGUAAAAUUGCGUGGAGGACCGAACCGGUGAGCGUUGAAAAGCUUUCGGAUGAGAUGUGGGUAGGGGUGAAAUUCCAAUCGAACGCGGAGAUAGCUGGUUCUCCCCGAAAUAGCUUUAGGGCUAGCCUGAGGUAGUAAGUAUAGGCGGUAGAGCACUGAUCGGGCUAGGGGCCGUAAAGGUUACCGAACCCUGUCAAACUCCGAAUGGAUAUACUGUAGAGCCUUGGAGUCAGACUACGAGUGAUAAGAUCCGUGGUCAAAAGGGAAACAGCCCAGACCACCAGCUAAGGUCCCCAAUGUCGUACUAAGUGGAAAAGGAUGUGGGGUUUCAUAAACAACCAGGAUGUUGGCUCAGAAGCAGCCACCAUUUAAAGAGUGCGUAAUAGCUCACUGGUCGAGAGACCCUGCGCCGAAGAUUCCCGGGGCUAAAGUACGAAACCGAAGCUGUGGCUGUAUACGUAAAGUAUACGGGGUAGGGGAGCGUUCCCAUAGGGUAGAAGUCGAACUGGAAGGUUCGGUGGACUUGUGGGAAGUGAGAAUGUUGGUAUGAGUAGCGAAAAGAAAGGUGAGAAUCCUUUCCACCGAAAGCAUAAGGAUUCCUGAGCAACGAUCGUCGUCUCAGGGUAAGUCGGGACCUAAUCCGAGGCAGAGAGCGUAGGAGAUGGACAACUGGUUGAUAUUCCAGUACCGGUAGUAAUUGUUUGAGCAAUGGAGUGACACAGAAGGGCAGGCAAGCAUGCGAAUGGAAGAGCAUGUGUAAGCGUGUAGGGUGGUGCAUAGGCAAAUCCGUGCACUGAAAGCCUGAGGCGUGAUGCGGAGUGAGCAGAGAUGCGAGCGAAGUUGUUGACCCCACACUGUCGAGAAAAGCUUCUAGUGAGAGAGCUACCGCCCGUACCGUAAACCGACACAGGUAUGCGGGGAGAGAAUCCUAAGGUGCGCGGGAGAACCCUCGUUAAGGAACUCGGCAAAAUGUACCCGUAACUUCGGGAUAAGGGUAGCCACUGUUGUGAAGUCCCAUGCGGAUGGAGCAUAGAGUGGUCGCAGAGAAGAGGCCCAAGCGACUGUUUACCAUAAACACAGGUGCCUGCUAAAGCGAAAGCUGACGUAUAGGUGCUGACACCUGCCCAGUGCCGGAAGGUUAAGGAAGGAUGUUCGGAGUAAUCCAAAGCAUUCGACUGAAGCCCCGGUGAACGGCGGCCGUAACUAUAACGGUCCUAAGGUAGCGAAAUUCCUUGUCGGGUAAG